GAAAUGCGAUACUUGGUGUGAAUUGCAGAAUUCAGUGAAUCAUCGAAUCUUUGAACGCACAUUGCGCCCUCCGGCUCCAUCCGGGGGGCAUGCCUGUUCGAGCGUCAUCAAAACCUCUCCCCCCCUCUCCGCUUAGCGCGCUGUAGGGUUGGGGGUCCUGGCAGAUCGGCUCUGUCGGGGGAGGAGGAUGAGAGAGGGGUGUUCCCUAGCGGGUUUCCCCUCCCUCCCCUUCCCCCCCAAAGUGCCCUGCUCAAAUGUUCCGGUCUGCAGGUUACGGGCUGUUCGAUUGCCCCACCACGACGUAGUGAUAACACCAUUCUCGUCGCGGCUGGCUUUCGUGAUGGCCGAGAAAACCGAGACCCUAAAACCUUUUUAUUUCUUCAAGAGAUUGACCUCGGAU
rnacentral:misc_RNA from 1 species